CUGACAAGCUCUGGGACUGGCAGAUUGUGGGGGGAGCUGCAAGAUGCUGGCCCUUGUUUCUGAAAGCCUGAACCGUAAGAAAACUGAAGAGUGCUCACAACGGAGGGGAAGGGGAGGAGCAGGCUGGCUUGGAAGAGGCCAGAGGGUCCCUCGGAGUGGGCACGGACAGCCUCCCCCUCCUACCUCGGCACCAGCAGUGAUCCUGGAGCCCGGGCCUGGCCAAGGGAGCAGAGAAGUCCAGGGAGGGCUGAGAAUGCGCCCCCACUCCUUAGCCGCCACCCCACCUUUCUGCCGCCUUCUAUGGGCGCCUUGUCAGAGUCUUCCUGUCCUAUGCUCUCUCAUUUGGCUUCUGCCCUUUUGCCUUCCCAGACGCCGCGCGCGUCGAAAUCCCUGGUGACUGCCAGGCUGGACUCACACCCAUCCUGUAAUUGGAUGUUUUUGUUGCGGUGGCAAAACACAUGUGACGUGAAAUCUGCCAUGUGAACCAGCAGUUCGGGGGACAUCAAGUACAUCCUCAUUGCUGAGCAGCCAUCCCACCGUCCACCUGCAGAACUUUCUUUCUCACGUUUCCCAACUGGAACUGCUUCCGUGAAACACUAAUGCCCCAGGCUCACCCCCCGCCUUGUAUUACACAACCUCUGUUCCACUUUCUGUCUCCUCGAACUCGACUACUCCAGGGGCCUCACGGAAGUGGAAUCGUACAGUAUUUGUUCUUGUGUGACUGGUUUAUUUGAGACUUCGCAUAUCGUCUUCAAGAUGCGUUCGUGCGGCAGCAAGAAACCACCCAGAUUCAGAGAAGAGCUAGGAUUCCCCCGGCACUGGUGAGGAUUGUUUCGGCUGCUGGCGGAGGAGACGAGGGGUAAGACGGGACGGCCGACCUGUGGGUCAGCCUCUCUCGCCAACGGGGGUCCCACCAGCUUCCCAGGCCCUUUGUGCCACUGGGCGCCAGAAAGAGCUGGCGUCACUGCAAAGCCCGGCCGUGACUCAUCCACCUCCCCAACUUCGCUCUUAAAAUGCGCUCUCUGGACUUUUCCAGGAAAGCCUGAGUGGCUCAUUGCAGACACCCAUCAUUAACGUGCCUUUCACGCUUCUUAAUUCCCUCCCGGGCUUUAACCAUCAUUGCAAACACGAGCAGGGGAUUCUUCUCAGAGAAAGACAUUCAUCAUGACUGUACCCAACCUCCGUCUCCAAUGCAGGAAUUACGGCAAUCGCCAGUGGGGAAAGGGAGCCAACAGGUAUUUUUAAAGAGGCUCUAUCCACUGGAGGAUCGAAAAGAAAAUAUCCCCUUUGAGCAUUUAGUCACACACAUCAAAGGAAACAACACUUUCAAUCUUCAUUUGCAUCGUACAGGCAUUAGAUGUGGUCCAGUUACACUGAGCUCCGCUUGGAAAGGCAGAAGUGCCAGUCCUUUCCAAGCCUUGACGGAGACAGAGAGAAAAUGCAGCCAGGCAAAUAAUAUAUCACCCUGCCAAGGCAUUUUCCAUUUUUAAAAGGACAGAACAAUUUUACAUUAUUUCUGGAGCCUCUUUGCAGCAAAUAUCCCUUGACAUUUAUUCUAGCACCCUGGCCGGCUGGCCUAAAAGCCUGGCUGCUCUCGGCCUGCUGUUCCUGUGUGCCGGGCACCGCAUUCUGCCUCUUGGGCUUGAAGCUCCAGACGUGAGAAGGGCAAGUGGCCCGGGUUUUUGAGCACAGGCAGGAGGAGGUUGGCUCUGCAGGAGGGGCCUGCGAAGGCUCCAGCCUGGUGGCAAGAUCAUGGCGUUUCAGGUCACUUGAAGGCAGUGAAUGGAGAACCAGCAUUCAGGGCUCAGAGCCUCCGGGUUGAAACCCCACAAGGCAGGGUUGGGGUUUGUCACAGAUAAAACAAUGAAGUGUGCUUGCACUUGAGGGGGAGGCCCCUUGGGGAAGUGGAGAACGGCCACGAGUUCUAGAAUAAUUAGCACCAAAUGACUUCUAGUUAGGGUGACAAAUGAGCACAUUUUCCAGAUCCGGAGAAUCAGGACUGGGCUAUUAGGUGAAAUUUUCCCAACCGUUUUUGUCUUCAAAAAAAAAAAAAAAAACUUUUUUUAACGUGUAUUUAUUUUUGAGAGAGUUGGAGCACAAGUGGGGGUGGGGCAGAGAGAGAGGGAGACACAGAAUCCGAGGCUCCAGGCUCUGAGUUGUUAGCACAGAGCCCGAUGUGGAGUCUGAACUCACGAACCGGCUCAUGACCUGAGCUGAAGUCGGAUGCCCAAACGACUGAGCCACCCAGGCGCCCCUUUUUUUCUUUUUUUAAAAAAUUUUCUUAUGUUUAUUUUUAUUUUUGAGAGAGAGACAGAGUGCAAGUGGGGGAGGGGCAGAGAGAGGAAGACACCAAAUCCAAAGCAGGCUCCAGUCUUUGAGCUGUCAGCACAGAGCCCGAUGCAGGGCUCGAACUCACAAGCUGUGAGAUCGUGACCCGAGCCGAAGUCAGACGCUCCACUGACUGAGCCCCCCAGACGCCCCCAAACUGUUGUUUUCUAAGGUGGUUUGUGGUCCACUCCUUGCCAAGUGUGAGGUCCUUUGUCAGAGGGCGAACUGUGGAUUUUAUUGUUUCGAAUCCUCAGUCCCGGCUGGCCUGAAAAAUCUCAGGGUGCUGAAUGAUUAAUUCCAACCUGCCCUAGAAAACGUUAGUCAGCUGGCAAAAGGAAAUAGCCCAACACGAAGGCAAAAAGAGCAAAUUGACUUUAUCUGUGAGUGAUUAUGUUUGACAAGAUGAAAAAGAAAGAAAUCUUUUGUCACAGAAGAAAAUUGUGCUGUGAGAAAUCUUUGCCCAGGUCUUGAGGCUCUGCUUUACAGUUUGAAUUAAAAUGGAAGUAAUCCCAGCACCGCCCCCCACCCCCAACACCAACAGAGAACAGAGAAACAAAACUUCAUUUUUCUACGUUUACUAUCGCAGAGUUUUAGAAACCACAUCAGGAGUUCCGGGUCUACUCCAGAGCAGCACUUCCAUUAACCAGCAAAAUCUCUUUCGAGAAACCUAUGUUUGAAUUGCUAUUUACUACUAAAAGUUUAAUUUUUCCUCUAA